UUUUUUUUUCUUCAUUUUUCGGUCUAAAUAUUAAAUAUCCAGAAAAUCUAUUAUGUUCAACAAUACAACUUAUCUGCAGAAACUCAUCCAGAAAGAAUGAAGGAUUUGAGUCGUCUUCCAUUGGUGUUAAAAAAAAGAACAGAUAUACUUCCGGGAAGGACGAUGUAUUUACUGCCUGUGUAUUAUAUUUCCAAAGUAUGCUCAGGAUUAAAGCCCUUAACAACUUACCUUAUGCACUGCAGUCAGGUGUUCAGCAAAAGAGACUAUUAUAAAAUUUUCAUUCUAAAAAAUUAAUGCUCAUUGUUUUAAGUAAACUUUUCAUUGUUAUUAAAUGUGUAGCUGUCAAUAGUGUGAAUGAUUGUUUCGAAGUGAAAAUAAAGAGUGACUAAUGGCGAUUUAUUAAAAUAAAACAGAAAAGAAAAGAAACACACAUCAAGGUCACAUCCUAAUGGUUUUUCUUUUUCUUUUUUUUUUCAAAUAAAAUUUGAUGCUGUUGUGUUGACAAAAUAUUAAACUCCAUUCACGGUAGCUUAUCCAAAACAGAGUGACUUUGUGACUCAUAUGUUUUUCAAUCUGUCACCCUGAAAAUUUCACAUGUGACUGGAUGAAUGAAGGUGGGGGUGUUAGUCAGCAGCAUUAGUGGGGGUCCAGGCAACUGUACUUCCUCAGCUAAACACCUAUCUUAGGCUUCUAUAACUAUAUAUGAAAUUAAGUCUGGUUUAGCAAUAAAAAAGUUGAACACCACCACUGCUGAUUUGUUACUCCAACUAAAAUCCAAAUCAGUUAUUUGGUUAACAUAAGUGUAGUGCUUCUGGAUCAGUCAUAUAACCCUGGCUAAUGAGGACACUGACUUUCGACCGGAUGAGUCUAUAUAGGGCAGGUUUUGGAAGUAAUCAUCAUAUCUCUUUAACACUGAAAGACGCCACUCAAAAGUUUUUCAACCCUUAAGUCACACGUAUAUGAAAUCAAGCAUCUAGCCAUAGAGUCUGCCUUUAAAAGCAUUUGUGAAACAAUGGUUUGUUCUAAAGAGCUUCUGUAAUAAGAUCCCAUCGUUGCAACAAUUCAGUUGGUGAAAUUUCUUAUCUCCUACAAAUUCCACUCAAACUGUUCUACAUGGCAUAUGUUUCCAUUGCAUAGCAGCUCUUGCUGGUGUAGUAUUUGGUAGGCUCAGUAUGUUUCUUGAUUGUAGUUUAAAAGCAUGAUGUACGGGAAUUCUAAAAAAUUUAAAUAAAUAGAAACAUGAUAAACUUAAGUGAGCUUUCUUUUUUUAGAGGAUACUAUCAUGUUUUUUCCAAUCAGGAUCAUAAACCAGAUCAGAUAUUGUCAUGAGUGAUGUCUUGAGUCAGACUGUAGAUUUUCUUUCUUGCUCUGUCUCCUCUCACAGGGAGAAGAUGAUCUGCAGGAUCCUGCUACUCAUCAUCCUCACCUCAUGUGUCUCUGGUUAGUUUACAGCUUCACUUUAUGAACUCCAAAUAAUGCUCAACAACAGAUUUGUUCCAGUUCUCAGUGUGUCUGCUCCUCUCUUUCCCUCUCUGUCUCCUCAACAGGAUCAUUUGUAGUCAAUGUGACACAGACCUGCUAUCAGGCAGAGGAGAACCACAACAUCACACUGGAGUGGACGUUCACCACCAAACCUGACAGAUCCACCAAAACUCUCAACGUCCUCUGUGAACUGAUAACUGAGCGUACAGAUUCAGUCCUGUAUCGUGUUCAAGAAGGUGUUGAGGUGUCAGAGUCUCAGGAUGAAAAGUUUUCAGGACGAGUUGAGAGUGACAAAGACGCCCUCAGAGAAGGACGAAUCAGACUUCAACUGUUUAGACUCAGGACUGAUGACUCGGGUCUGUACCUGUGUGAACUGAACACAGAUUAUGGCUUUGGCUCAGCCAGAUGUAGACUCAGCAUCAGUGCUUCGGAUGACCCCAAACGUCCAAGUCCAACAGUGAACACACAACCAGAGAGUCGAGGAUGGCUCAACCUGUAUCCUUUACUUAUACUGCCAGCAGCAGCUUUAUUGAUCAAACUCUGUUAUAAAAUCAUAAAACGAAAACAUAACCUAAAUCUAAACAGUCACCGCCUAGGCAGCGAAUGCAGUGAAGCAGUAGUCAACUUGAAUAAUUCAGAUGCCACUCACCUUGCUGCUUCAUUAGAAGCCACAUCCAUCAUCUUCUGAGUGUGGACAUGACUUCCCUGAACUCCAAAGAUUGUCAUGUUAACAGCUGGGUCUGCAGUGGAAGAUUUGUGGGAGCAUCAACCUCAGUGAGAGCUGAGAAACACUGUCUGCAGUCUGUAGCCAUCAUCAAAAACACUGAUGGAAACAUUCAAAGCUCUUGUCACGUAUAUCAUUAAUAAUAUUUCCUUCCUCUUUUGGUUCUAACAUUUGUUUUUGUUAGAUAUGGUAUGAGGAAUCUUUAAUUUUUGUCCAUUAGCAUCCAGAGUGAUUGAAAUCACUUGUUGUUCUCCCAUCAGCUGUUAUAAAUUAGUACUGGUUAAAAUGUGCCUGAACUCAAGUUGUUAAAGGAAUUCUAAGUGUUACAGUGAACUCCUAAUAAUUUGACUAUGGAUCACCAUAGGUAGAAUUUACUUUUUCUAAAGUUAAUGUUUAUGUGUAUAUAUUGUAAACAAGUCCUUAUUUAUAUGAAAGAAGUUAUGAUUCUUCUGUAUAUGUGUGUGUCCAAAUCAUUUUAUCAAAGGGUCAGAAGAUCUUAAAGAGGUCUAUAAUACCAAGUGUAAUCUAACAUGUUUGGUACUAUUACUUUACAAGGUGUAUUACAAGAAGGACAGGAGUUUGAUAAUUAUUUAAAAUAUAUAAAACACUGAAUGUGUACAUAUAAAGCAACAAAGUUGUUUACGCCAACUCUUAAUCGUAACAUUAUUCUACUUAAAGAAUAUUUAGUUGGCGUUGAAAUGACUUUUUCUCUCUCAGCACUGAAAAUCUAACACUUGAUUCUGCUGAGUUUUUCUGCUAUCAGCUUCUGUCUCUGCUUUCAUAAAAUAAAAUGAUCGAUCUUUUUGAUCAACAACACAAACAAUGGUGGUGACACUUUCUGUCGAAAAACACUGCGGCAUGAUGGGAACAGCUGCAGUUGUUUACAUAAAUCAGGGGUGUUGAACUCCAGGUUUUGAGGGCCGGUGUCCUGCAGGUUUUAGAUCUCACCCUGGGUCAACACACCUGAAUCACAUGAUUAGUUCAUUACCAGGCCUCUGGAGAACCACUUUAACUGGUUUUGAACUGGUUCUAACUGAUUAUAGUUGUUGUCAGCCAGUUGUGGCAGAUGACUGCCCCUCCCUGAGCCUGGUUCUGCAGAAGGUUUCUCCCACUUUAAAGUAGUGAUGGGCAGAUGAAGCUUCAUGAAGCACUGAAGCUUUUCAUCCAAUUGGUUCACCCCAGUGCAAAGCUUCUUGAAGCUUCAUUUGCUCUAGUAGGACACCUACUGGACGUAAAAAUAUUAGUUGGCAUGAAUUUGAAGUGUGUGGCCUUUUGCACACAGCCUGUAAAUGUCAACAACAAAAGGAGUGUGUAAAACAUCUAUAUUGUAUUGAUGGCAGUAUACUGUGUAUAUUUAUACUGGCAGUAUGGAAAAUGAUCAUUUGGAAAUGCUUAAAAUGGAAAUAAUCAUUUACUGUGAGGUGAGGUGUGGUUGGGGUAUGGACAGUGGUUGUGCUCUUGUAACGUUGAGGUAUGGACAGCUACACACUGAGGCGUCAGUCCUGCCCAUAUUCUAUUCAGUAAAAACUAAAUUUUCACUGCUUUUAUAACCUUUAGUGGGGAGAGCAUAGCUAGGAUUUAAUGAUUUAACAAAUCUUUUGAAUCCUUUGUCCUCCACAAUGCUAAAUGGCUGGGAGUCCUCAAUCACCAUGCUAACCAG
ensembl:lncRNA